rnacentral:ribozyme from 1 species
CAGGAACGGAAUCGGUUGAACUGGACAAGGCAAGGCCCAUCAUGUCCGAGGACGAAACGUUUCGGAAAAACAUCUCUGUGUCGUCGUUUGUACGGGAGCUUGACGAUGUGUACACACCGCCUCUCGUAUCCUUUGCCUUUGCCUUUACCUGU